CGCAGAGUACAGCUUGGGAGACAGAGCACCGGGUGCUAACGUCCGGACUCAAGAGGGAAACAACCCAGACCGCCAGCUAAGGUCCCUAAAAUUGGCUAAGUGGGAAACGAAGUGGGAAGGCUAAAACAGUCAGGAUGUUGGCUUAGAAGCAGCCAUCAUUUAAAGAAAGCGUAAUAGCUCACUGAUCGAGUCGUCCUGCGCGGAAGAUGUAACGGGGCUAAGCCAGUUACCGAAGCUGCGGAUUUGCAAUUUAUUGCAAGUGGUAGGAGAGCGUUCUGUAAGCCUGUGAAGGUGCCUGGUAACGGGUGCUGGAGGUAUCAGAAGUGCGAAUGCUGACAUGAGUAGCGUUAAAGGGGGUGAAAAGCCCCCUCGCCGUAAGCGCAAGGUUUCCUACGCAACGUUCAUCGGCGUAGGGUGAGUCGGCCCCUAAGGCGAGGCAGAGAUGCGUAGCUGAUGGGAAACAGGUCAAUAUUCCUGUACCGAUGUGUAGUGCGAUGUGGGGACGGAGAAGGUUAGCUCAGCCAACUGUUGGAUAUGUUGGUUCAAGCCUGUAGUCGUGCCUGGUAGGCAAAUCCGCCGGGCUUAGAUGAGGGGUGAUAACGAGUCUGCUUGCAGACGAAGUGAGUGAUACCCUGCUUCCAGGAAAAGCCACUAAGCUUCAGCUACACACGACCGUACCGCAAACCGACACUGGUGCGCGAGAUGAGUAUUCUAAGGCGCUUGAGAGAACUCUGGAGAAGGAACUCGGCAAAUUGAUACCGUAACUUCGGGAGAAGGUAUGCCGCAAGUAGGUGAACUUGAACAAAGGGAGCCCAAAGCGGUUGCAAAAAAUCGGUGGCUGCGACUGUUUAAUAAAAACACAGCACUCUGCAAACACGAAAGUGGACGUAUAGGGUGUGACGCCUGCCCGGUGCUGGAAGAUUAAAUGAUGGGGUGCAAGCUCUUGAUUGAAGUCCCAGUAAACGGCGGCCGUAACUAUAACGGUCCUAAGGUAGCGAAAUUCCUUGUCGGGUAAGUUCCGACCUGCACGAAUGGCGUAACGAUGGCCACACUGUCUCCUCCAGAGACUCAGCGAAGUUGAAAUGUUUGUGAUGAUGCAAUCUCCCCGCGGAAAGACGGAAAGACCCCAUGAACCUUUACUGUAGCUUUGUAUUGGAUUUUGAACGGAUCUGUGUAGGAUAGGUGGGAGGCUUUGAAGUGAGGACGCUAGUUCUCAUGGAGCCGACGUUGAAAUACCACCCUGGUGCGUUUGAGGUUCUAACCCAGGUCCCUUAUCGGGAUCGGGGACAGUGCAUGGUAGGCAGUUUGACUGGGGCGGUCUCCUCCCAAAGCGUAACGGAGGAGUUCGAAGGUACGCUAGUUACGGUCGGACAUCGUGACGAUAGUGCAAUGGCAUAAGCGUGCUUAACUGCGAGACUGACAAGUCGAGCAGAUGCGAAAGCAGGACAUAGUGAUCCGGUGGUUCUGUAUGGAAGG
rnacentral:rRNA from 1 species